GGCUCAGUAGUGGAUGAUCCCACACCUGCUUCUUGUGUGAAUCUACCAUGUACCAGCCGGAGAAGCCUGUUUGAAUCAGGCCUGAGCCA